rnacentral:piRNA from 1 species
UGUACUUGGGCACAUAGCACCUGGCGG